rnacentral:rRNA from 1 species
AUUGAACGCUGGCGGAAUGCUUUACACAUGCAAGUCGAACGGUAGAGGGGGCAACCCCUCGAGAGUGGCGAACGGGUGAGUAAUAUAUCGGAACGUGCCCAGUCGUGGGGGAUAACGUAGCGAAAGUUACGCUAAUACCGCAUACGAUCUAAGGAUGAAAGCGGGGGAUCGCAAGACCUCGCGCGAUUGGAGCGGCCGAUAUCAGAUUAGGUAGUUGGUGGGGUAAAGGCUCACCAAGCCAACGAUCUGUAGCUGGUCUGAGAGGACGACCAGCCACACUGGAACUGAGACACGGUCCAGACUCCUACGGGAGGCAGCAGUGGGGAAUUUUGGACAAUGGACGCAAGUCUGAUCCAGCCAUUCCGCGUGCAGGAUGAAGGCCCUCGGGUUGUAAACUGCUUUUGUACGGAACGAAAAGGUCUCUCUUAAUACGGGGGGCUCAUGACGGUACCGUAAGAAUAAGCACCGGCUAACUACGUGCCAGCCGCCGUAACAC